rnacentral:rRNA from 1 species
GAUGGCGACCGGCGCACGGGUGAGUAACGCGUAUCCAACCUACCGUAUACUCAGGGAUAGCCUUCCGAAAGGGAGAUUAACACCUGAUAGAAUCUAAAGAUCUCAUGGUUUUAAGAUUAAAUGUAAAGGUAUAUGAUGGGGAUGCGUUCCAUUAGAUAGUAGGCGGGGUAACGGCCCACCUAGUCGACGAUGGAUAGGGGUUCUGAGAGGAAGGUCCCCCACAUUGGAACUGAGACACGGUCCAAACUCCUACGGGAGGCAGCAGUGAGGAAUAUUGGUCAAUGGAUGAGAAUCUGAACCAGCCAAGUAGCGUGAAGGAUGACGGCCCUACGGGUUGUAAACUUCUUUUGAAAGGGAAUAAAGUGUGGUACGUGUACCAUAUUGUAUGUACCUUUGGAAUAAGCAUCGGCUAACUCCGUGCCAGCAGCCGCGGUAAUACGGAGGAUGCGAGCGUUAUCCGGAUUUAUUGGGUUUAAAGGGUGCGUAGGCGGACGCUUAAGUCAGUUGUGAAAGUUCGAGGCUCAACCUUGGAAUUGCAAUUGAUACUGGUCGUCUAGAGAUUACAUAAGGUAGGCGGAAUUCGUGGUGUAGCGGUGAAAUGCUUAGAUAUCACGAAGAACUCCGAUU